rfam:Oryza nivara chromosome 3, whole genome shotgun sequence.
AAAAAAGCAAACCCUAGAUUUGCGUGUCCAACUUUAACUAUCCGUCUUAUAUGAAAUUUUUUUAUAAUUCGUAUUUUCAUUGUUGUUAGAUGAUAAAACAUAAUUAAUAUUUUAUGCGUGGCUUGUUUUUUUAAUUUUUUUUAUAAUUUUUUUAAAUAAGACGGACAGUUAAAUGUUGGGCACGGAAACUAGGGUUUGUCUUUUU